AUACGUAGGGGGCGAGCGUUGUCCGGAAUGAUUGGGCGUAAAGGGCGCGUAGGCGGCCCGGUAAGUCUGGAGUGAAAGUCCUGUUUUUAAGAUGGGAAUUGCUUUGGAUACUGUCGGGCUUGAGUGCAGGAGAGGUAAGUGGAAUUCCAAGUGUAGCGGUGAAAUGCGUAGAGAUUGGGAGGAACACCAGUGGCGAAGGCGACUUACUGGACUGUAACUGACGCUGAGGCGCGAAAGUGUGGGGAGCAAACAGGAUUAGAUACCCUGGUAGUCCACACUGUAAACGAUGAAUGCUAGGUGUAGGGGGUAUCGACCCCUUCUGUGCCGCAGUCAACACAAUAAGCAUUCCGCCUGGGGAGUACGGCCGCAAGGUUGAAACUCAAAUGAAUUGACGGGG
rnacentral:rRNA from 1 species